rnacentral:misc_RNA from 1 species
GAUGAAGAACGCAGCGAAAUGCGAUAAGUAGUGUGAAUUGCAGAAUUCAGUGAAUCAUCGAAUCAUGAACGCACAUUGCGCCCCUUGGUAUUCCAUGGGGCAUGCCUGUUCGAGCGUCAUUUGUACCUUCAAGCUCUGCUUGGUGUUGGGUGUUUGUCUCGCCUCUGCGUGUAGACUCGCCUCAAAACAAUUGGCAGCCGGCGUAUUGAUUUCGGAGCGCAGUACAUCUCGCGCUUUGCACUCAUAACGACGACGUCCAAAAGUACAUUUUUACACUCUUGACCUCGGAUCAGGUAGGGAUACCCGCUGAACUUAAGCAUAUCAAUAAGCGGAGGA